rnacentral:rRNA from 1 species
CCUUCGGGUGGACCGGCAGACGAGGUAGUAACACGUAGGAACGUACCCUUAAGUCAGGGAUAGCCCGGAGAAAUCCGGAGUAAUACUUGAUAGUCUCUUCGGAGUAAAGAUUUAUCGCUUAAGGAGCGGCCUGCGGGAUAUCAGCUAGUUGGUAGUGUAAUGGACUACCAAGGCUAUGACGUCUAGGGGAGGUGAGAGCCUGACCCCCACCGAUGGGACUGAGAUACGGCCCAUACUCC